AGAAUAUUUAACAGCACGUAGAAAAGCCCAACAACCAUUACACUCAUAAUAUAUGUUUGAUGUUCAAAAGUUGAAAGGAUUCAAGAUAAAGUAUUAUCACCUACUUACAAAAAGGGGAAGAUAUCUAUUAAAAAAAUCAUCCCAAAUUUUCUUCAAAUCAUAUUGUUGAGAAAGUUCAAUGAUUUUCUAUCAAUUGCCUGUGAAAAAAAUUAGAGACAAAUGAAUUACAGUUACUCUCACAAUUGCUCUACAUAUGAAAAAAAAUGUUAGAUUAACACAACAAUGUACACAACGAAUAUGAAAAUAAAUAUCCUGUGAAUACGAACCGGGUUACAAUAAUUAUUCAUUACACCCCAUCUCCACACCAUUGUUGUUGUGACUGAAAUUAUUAAUGCUACUUGAAAUCGUCAAAUUAUUACACCUAGAAUCACUAAUAAAACUUCUAUCUCCAUCAUACCACUACUUGAACUUCAUCCAUAAUUAUCAGCAAGUCCUUCACAUAAUCAUAAGGACCGCAUCUACUUGUAUCACACCAUCACUGUUUCUAUCAUCUAUACUUCAUCUUUAACGAUUGUCUAUCAUCGACACUACCUAAAUGUUGCUGCUACCAGUAUGUGCAUCUCUCAUUCCACAUUUUUUGUUAAUCAACUUAGAAAAUUGAGAUUCAACGGCAUACAAAUAAGAUGAUAAUAACUUGUAAGUUCACUCAAAAGUCUUGAAUCAAGACGGUUAAUAGUAGCUGUAGAAGAGUAAGAUACACAACUUUUUCAAGGAUUUUAAAACAUUGCUGCGAAAAGAAGAAUGUAUUAUUGUAUAAUGUUUAAGAUUAAGAGAGAAACAUAGAGGUUGAUUGGGUGUAAAAAAGUGAGAGGAUUUGGGAUUUGAAAAGGCUGAAAUUUGUUCAAACUCUUUAAAGAGAAAUUGAAUAUAGCACCACAAUUUUUUGCCAUUGUUGAUUCAAUAAACUUGGCUCGUGUAUCAGAGUAGUUGAAAGUAAAGUUUUAGCUUCAUCAGUCAAGUGCCAUGGUGUGCAAUAUUCACAUGCCUUUUUAAAAAAAAAAAAAAAAAAUUGGUACUCAAGCUUCAACAUUAGCAACGAGAGGUUCACCAAAUUUAUUAGCAAGUUUUCUCAUUCAAAUAGUUCAAAAAAGUAAAUAAAUACCAAAAAUGAAACUACACAUUGAUCACGUUAAAUGUAAGAGUAUAAACUUGUGAAGGCAAUGCUUUUUGGUCUCUCCUGCUAUAUCAUCCAAUGUACAAUUAUACGAGCAAUUAUAAAGGAAUUAGUGUAUUGAUGUGUAUGAAGAAAUGCAGCUUUGACCCUUCACCCUCAGCCACACCAUCACCUACCUAACUAUGUCAUCCAAUGUUCCAUGCAUUCAUGUGUAUCAAGGAAUUAGUUUAUUAAUCGGGCUCUGAUACCAAACACAUUGUAAACAUAAGUAUAUACUUUCUAGCACUUAUCACUAUAUAUUUUUAUGCAACAAUACUUCAGGAUUAGUCAAAGAAAGUAACAACAUGAAUCCAAAAAGAAAGAAAACAAAAGCAAUACACGGAACAUAAUCAUCAAAAUAUUAAAAAAAUAAUAGGAUUUAAUAUCUCAUAUAACUUGGUAUUGAAUGUUUCAUAAUCAAUUUUUAUAUAAAGAAGACUAUAAAACAUACGCAUAUAAAGAGUAACCUGCAAAGUUUGGCCAAGUAUUUACUACAUAAAAAAGUUUACCAAAAUCGCGAAAUAAAUAGGCAAAAAAAUGUUCACAAUAGAACAUUCAUAGGAUACAAAUACUUCCAAUGGAUGUGCAAAAAGUAAAUAAGAAAACUUACUUGAUAG
rnacentral:lncRNA from 1 species